GGACGUAUCUUAAUUUUCUUAAAAAAAUCGUAAACUUAAUUUAAUUCAUCCAACAUAACAAGAACCUGCUGUAUUCGACGGCAAUUAAAUUUUUUUUAUUUUAUUGAUCUUCCGUAGAAUAUCUCCAGAAGAGGUCCAGAUUCAUUUUUUUGAACUCUUCACCAGAAGACAUUCUGGAGAUGUACAGAAGAGACCAAUAAAACACGCCCCA
rnacentral:lncRNA from 1 species